rnacentral:tRNA from 1 species
UAGAAAGUGGUGUAGUGGAAGCACCAAAGAGUUUUGAUCUCUUUGAGGAUGGGUUCGAAUCCCUUCUCUCUAGAAUUGAGGGGACUUGAACCCCUAUCAGCCA